UACGGGGGGGGGCAAGCGUUGUUCGGAAUUACUGGGCGUAAAGCGCACGUAGGCGGCUUUGUAAGUUAGAGGUGAAAGCCCGGAGCUCAACUCCGGAACUGCCUUUAAGACUGCAUCGCUUGAAUCCAGGAGAGGUGAGUGGAAUUCCGAGUGUAGAGGUGAAAUUCGUAGAUAUUCGGAAGAACACCAGUGGCGAAGGCGGCUCACUGGACUGGUAUUGACGCUGAGGUGCGAAAGCGUGGGGAGCAAACAGG
rnacentral:rRNA from 1 species